rnacentral:rRNA from 1 species
GACGAACGCUGGCGGCGUGCCUAAUACAUGCAAGUUGAGCGCUGAAGGUUGGUACUUGUACCAACUGGAUGAGCAGCGAACGGGUGAGUAACGCGUGGGGAAUCUGCCUUUGAGCGGGGGAUAACAUUUGGAAACGAAUGCUAAUACCGCAUAAAAACUUUAAACACAAGUUUUAAGUUUGAAAGAUGCAAUUGCAUCACUCAAAGAUGAUCCCGCGUUGUAUUAGCUAGUUGGUGAGGUAAAGGCUCACCAAGGCGAUGAUACAUAGCCGACCUGAGAGGGUGAUCGGCCACAUUGGGACUGAGACACGGCCCAAACUCCUACGGGAGGCAGCAGUAGGGAAUCUUCGGCAAUGGACGAAAGUCUGACCGAGCAACGCCGCGUGAGUGAAGAAGGUUUUCGGAUCGUAAAACUCUGUUGGUAGAGAAGAACGUUGGUGAGAGUGGAAAGCUCAUCAAGUGACGGUAACUACCCAGAAAGGGACGGCUAACUACGUG